AUUGAACGCUGGCGGCAGGCCUAACACAUGCAAGUCGAGCGAGCGGCGGACGGGUGAGUAAUGUAUGGGGACUGCCCGAUAGCGGGGGAUAACUACUGGAAACGGUAGCUAAUACCGCAUACUAUCGGAUAACCCAUAUGGGAUUAGCUAGUAGGUGAGGUAAUGGCUCACCUAGGCGACGAUCCAUAGCGGGUCUGAGAGGAUGAUCAGCCACCCUGGGACGGAGACACGGCCCAGACUCCUACGGAGGCAGCAGUGGGGAAUAUUGCACAAUGGGCGAAAGCCUGAUGCGGCCAUGCCGCGUGUAUGAAGAAGGCCUUAGGGUUGUAAAGUACUUUCAGUCGGGAGGCGUUACCGACAGAAGAAGCACCGGCUAACUCCGUGCCAGCCGCCGCGGUAAUAC
rnacentral:rRNA from 1 species